rnacentral:tRNA from 1 species
CCCCUUGUGGUGGAACUGGAAGACACGCCUGACUCAAAAUCAGGUGUCCAUAAGGACGUGCGGGUUCAAGUCCCGCUGAGGGGACCA